GCAGGGUUCAGGGCCACAGCAUGCUGACCAGGGGCUUCUGGGCAUUCGGACAACUUCUGCACUCCCCCUUCCUGUCCCCUCCCAUGGCCCAUUGGAGACAGAGGACAGAGAAGGUGCCAGAAGACAUGUGAAGGACGUCUGAGUGCUCAAUCGGUGGCUCAGGCUACCCAGAGUGGAACCAUGCUGCUUGGGCAGUGCACACGACCAGGGGAGGCUCAGCCCCACCCUGAGCACGCACAGUGCCCAGGACCACGUGGCUCGGGCAGGGGUCCUGCAUGCCUACCAUGGUCUCCAGGCUGCUGAUCUGGCUCUCUGUCCUGUCCAGGAGCUGCUCCCGGUAGCGCUUCUUCUUGAGCAGCAGCUUGGCACGUCUGCAAGGGGAGCCGGGUCUGAAGACUGGGAAGUCCCAGGGGAAGAGGCUCACGGGCUUGGGGUCUGGUGAGGACCGGCUGUCGCUCUAGGUGGUGCCUUCAACGCUGCAUUCUCACCUGGUGGAAGGCAGAAGGCCACGGAAUGGGAAUCCUCACGAGGCGGGCUCUCGUGGAAGAGCCUCACCUGGGUUUCCCAGCUGCACCCUCCACCCCUCCCAGGGGCCCCUCCUGGAGUCACAGACACUCAGGUCCAGGUAGGAGCUCCUUGUGUGAUCCUGCUCCUGCUAACCCGAGGCCAGGCUACAGUUCUUGAUCCCACAGGUAACCCCAAGACUGAGAGCCUGGGGCGAUGCCUUCCCCGCCCUCCAUUACCCCUGAGGACCCAUGUCAGCCAGGGCUGAGGAGGGAAGGCCUGCAAAGCUAGAAGGGACUCUGCCCCUCCCCCAGAUACGCUGGGUUCUGUUGGCCUCAUCAGGUGUGGGGCUCUGGGUGGGUGUCCUUGGGGGUGGACAGCCUCCUGGUCAUGUCUGCGUGGCCCCUUCACCCAUGGUGCUGUGCCCAAAGUGACGCUGGCUUCCGGGCUGGGGGCCUGGGUGGUAGGAUGGCUUAGGAAGCCUUGGCUCUGGCCUUGGUGGCCAUGCUAACUGGAGGACAGCCCUUCCUCUCGGGGCUGGGGUCCUGCAUGGUGAAUGGCCUGUCACUUCCCUGGCCCCUGGAAGUCCCUGUGGGGCCUCAGUCUGUUUGGAGGAUGCUGACCUAUCCCAGGGAGAAGCAGGUUCUGGGGGGCGUGGCAACCAUCCUCCUAACUGCCCUGGGCCUGCCUGGCCAGGGUAAGGCAGGGUCUCAUAGGUCAAGGACCCAAGUGGUGGUUGGAGGUGGGGAGGGCUGAGGGGCACCAGGGCUGCCUCCCUGGCCUGGGGACAUGAGGCCCAGCCCGCCAGGUGGGGCCAAGAAGGCUGGGCCCCACGAACAUCCAGGGCUGCCACCACUGUCCUCAGGGUCUCCCCUCCCCCCACGGUGCUGUUGAGAAGGCCCUGGGGACACUGGUGGCAGCCUGGGUGUGUUCCCCACCCACAGGGAGCACCUGGCCACAGAAGUGCAGGAUGGACCUUCCCUGCAGGGCCCCACAGCUGCCCUCAGGAGGGGAGAGCUAAGAGAGAGCUUCCGGGAGCGACCUGCCCAGGGCCAGCCUGCCCAGCGUGCUCCUGGCUCUCAUGCUACAGCGUCUCAGGGAUAGGUGACCUCCCCAGUCACUGGCCCCACUUCUUGUCACCUGGCGGGCAGGCGGGGUCUACCCCUACUUGGCCUCUGGGGUGCUGAGGCAGGGUGGGGCCAGAGGUGACUGGGCUGCAGCCACAGGGACCUGGUGUCCUGGUGUCACAGGAGGGCACAAUGGCUGAUGUGAGCAUGCAAUAGGCUGCCAUUGGGGACUCCCUUUUGCUUCCUCCCUGUCCCUCUCUCCUUCUGGGUGUGGCCUUUGCUCUACAUUCCCCUGAUCUCUGAGCCAGUUGCAGAAACCAGCUCUCGACCACAAAACAGACCCCAAAUCGGAGCGUCCUCCCUUGAAGAGAAGAGAGGCCCAUGAGCAGGAACUCGCUCCCUGUGGGCAGCCCCUGGCCUGACGCCCCCACGGCCUCAUAGACUCUGAGGGGAGCUGAGCCUGAGACCUUGAAACAGCUGCCUCCUGCCGAGCGCUGCCCCCCAAGGCAUGGCCUUUCUGUGGGGCGAACUUUCGCAGGGCCUCCUUCCAGGACCAGCAGCUGCGGGCCCCAUGGCUAGUGGGGCAGUAGAGGCCAGGGAGGUUGACCCGUGGAGGGAGGCACUGGAGGCUCUGGGCCUGGCUCACCUGUCAGCACCCCACAGGGCAUGUUGCUCCUGUCCUGCCUCCUUGUCCUGCGGGGGUCACCUGAAGCUGGCCAUUUGCCUCUUCUGCUGGGCACGUGAGCAAAGCCAGCCUGCAGCCGGCGCCCUUGCCAUGGCCACAGGCCUGGAGUGGCUGUGGAGAUCCGACUUGCCGUCAGGCCUCCUUCCUGAGACUGCCUCGGGUCCGUCCCCCGCUGUUAUGAACACCGGAUUUGUUCUCAGGUCGUGCGGACAGAAAAACUGAUGCUAAUAGGAAAAAUAUCACUCUUCUAACCAGAGCUGACCUGGCACAGCCCCACAGCGCUGGGCACCUCUCUUGUUUAGGAUGAACCCUGACUUAGCAAUCCCAGCACAGGAGCCCUCCAGGUCUCCAUGGCAACGGCUGCCUCCCUCUUUGGCAGGCGUGGAGGACUGGGAGCAGCGGCCGUCUGCGUCACGGGAACCCACCUUCUCAGGGCUGCACCCAUGGCCAGGCCCCAGGUUUGCUGCUCAUGGCCGCAGGCUGCCCCCAGGGGCCACUAGAUCCCAGGACAGUGGCCAGCACAAGGCCAGGGAGCUCCAGAAGGCAGGAGCCGCGGCCGUGCAGCUGUCGGGGCUGCAACCUUCCUGGCUUCUCUGGCCAAGGACCCUGAGCCUUUGUGGCUUCUGUCUGGAAGGAGGGUCUCUGGCUGUGGACAGAGGGGGCGGUCCGCUGAAUAAUGCCUCCAAAGAUGUCCACAUCUCAACCGCAGGGCCGAUGACUAUGCUUGCCCCCUGCUGAAGCCGGUUAGAGGCUGAAAAUUGGUUCAUUUGAAAAUGGGAUAGGGCUGGUCACCCAGGGGCCCAGGGUAGUCAACAACAUUGAAAAGGAAGUGAUGUCAAAACAAAGCCCUCCCCUUCCCUGGACCUCCAGACACGAGAGACACUGCUGGCUCUGGAGAGAGGAGGGGCAGACCAGGGCUUUCUCCCCAGCAGCAAUGCUGCCCUGGGACACCUCAUUCUCAGCCCCGCGAGACUCGAGUGGACUUCCCACGUGGCAUAACGGCUGGCCUUGUCAGAGAAGCAAGUUACAACACAGCAGCAGGAGCCCCCUGGAGCUCGGCCUGUGCAACCAAGUCAUCUGCUCCCAAAGGUAGGGCCGCACUGGGUUGCUGAGGCUGGCUUUGAACUGCGACCUUCCUGCUUCCGCCUCCCAGCUGCUGGGGCCAUAGGUGCGGCCUUCCCUUGAACAAACUCCUCUCACAGGGACAGACGGGGCACAUGAUAUAAAGUGCUGCGCUUUCUUGUGGGGCUGAGGCCCAGCUGCCCAGGGCAGCUGCAGAGGACUUAGGCGAUAGCCGCCCCAAGGCUCCCCGCAGGCCUGCCUGGCCCCCCAGGGGCAGAUGUUGCUUCCUGGGCAGAGGCUGCCACCAGCGGCCACUUGUGCACGUCUUUAACUUUUAUUAAGUUUAUUAUUUGUCAUUGCUCUUAGCUUCACAUUACGAUUCCAUGUUUUGUCAAAGUCUUUUUCAAUUCUCAUUUUGGUAAAAUAAAUAGAGAUAAAGGAA